rnacentral:tRNA from 1 species
GCCCCUGUAGCUCAGAUUGGAUAGAGCAGCGGUUUCCUAAACCGCGUGCCGGGUGUUCAAGUCACCCCAGGGGCG